GAUGAACGCUAGCGGCAGGCCUAACACAUGCAAGUCGAGGGAGAAGCCCUUUCGGGGGCAGAAACCGGCGCACGGGUGCGUAACGCGUAUGCAACCUACCUUUCACAGGGGGAUAGCCCGAAGAAAUUUGGAUUAAUACCCCAUAAUAUUAUUGGAUGGCAUCAUUUGAUAAUUAAAACUGCGGUGGUGAAAGAUGGGCAUGCGUCCUAUUAGCUAGUUGGAGUGGUAACGGCACCCCAAGGCUACGAUAGGUAGGGGUCCUGAGAGGGAGAUCCCCCACACUGGUACUGAGACGGGGACCAGACUCCUACGGGAGGCAGCAGUGAGGAAUAUUGGUCAAUGGUCGGAAGACUGAACCAGCCAUGCCGCGUGCAGGAAGAAUGCCUUAUGGGUUGUAAACUGCUUUUAUAUGGGAAGAAUAAGGCGUACGUGUACGUUGAUGACGGUACCAUAUGAAUAAGCAUCGGCUAACUCCGUG
rnacentral:rRNA from 1 species